GUGCUCACUUUGGCAGCACAUAUACUAAAAUUAGAAUGAUACAGAGAAGAUUAGCAUGGCUCCUGUCUGUGCAAGGAUGACACGCAAAUUCAUGAAAUGUUAUCUCUAUGU
ensembl:snRNA U6 U6 spliceosomal RNA